ensembl:lncRNA
CUAGGCGCGCCAGUCUUCCGAAUUGACUGGGACGCCCACAGAUACCUGUGUAUCCUGAUCAAUAAAAAUCCUCUUGCUGAUUACAGCCUGUGGACUCGGACUGGUCAUUGGGCUUGAGGAUCUCCCUCCUGAGGGAAGAUUCUCUCUGAGAGUCUUACAUAUGGGGGCUCGUCCGGGAUCGGAGAUCCUCUGCCUAGAGACCACCGACCACCCACCGGGAGGUAAGCUGGCCAGUGUUUGUCUUGUCCUGUCUUGUCUUGCUUUGUGACUUGUUCUGUAAAUGCUUAGUUACUUGGCUUGGGUCUAGACUGUUUGUAUUUGGGCGGGCCAGAGAAGGAGCUGACGAGCUCAGACUUCUCCCCCGCAGCCCUGGAAGACGUUCCAAGGGUGUUUAGAGCCCGGUUUUUCGGGGCUCAGCCUGUAUCGGAAGGAUACGUGGUUUUGGGUUGGAGGAGAGAGGAGAGAGCCGGAUCCACUGAAGGAUCCGGACCCUUGUCGCCUCUGUCUGAAUUUUUGGUUUCAGUUUGACACCGAAGCCGCGCGGUGCGUCUGUCUGUCUGACUGUUAAAAUUGUUUGUCUUCUUUGUGUCCUAAUUUUCUUUGAAUAUCUGUGGAAAUUGGUUAUAGGAUGCUUUGUCUUGGUCUUGUUUGUCUGGUUUGUUUUCUGUGGUAUUGUCCAGUGUCUUUUUGGCUUUUGUUUCGUUUUUGAACUUUGGAUAGACGACUGUGUUUAAAAUCUUAGACUGACGACUGUGUUUAAAAUCAUGAAACUGUUUGCUUUGUUUGUCAAGGAGUUUUACUUGGUCCUCUUGGUGCUUAACUUGGAAAUAAUUUGCUUGAGAAAAAUUGUUUUCUGCUGGGGAGUUUUAUCUUUCUCUCUUGAGCCUCCUCCCCAAGGAGAGAUGCCCCUCCCUUUGCUCCCCUUGUCCAUUCUAGCUGCUGUUAACAGUUGUGUAUGAAGAACUCCAGGUUAGUGAGUGACCCUGUCUGAAGCAGGCAUUAACAAGAACCUGAAAGCUUUACCUUGGAUCCUGAAGAAAAAUUCUCCCUGUUGCUUAAACAUUCACAGCUUCUAAGGAAGGGACAACACAGAGUAGGAAAAUGUAGGGGCUGAGGGUGACAAGCAUGCAGGCCUGCUAGCAAGCUGCAGGCUGCGCGUGGGCAGUGGCGCAGCUCAGGCCAAGUCAGCGUAAGAGGAGUUUCAAGGUGAUGAGGCCGGCCGGGGUUGACGCUUUGACAACAAUAAGAUAAUAUAGAGUUAGUGGUUGUUUUUAUGAGACUUUUGGCCCUGAGAAAAAAAAAUAAUAAUUCCAGUUGCUGCUUUCAGUGGCCAGACCUUCAACACUUGCUCACAGAAGGAGAGUGUUCAUUAAGAGAAGUUCUUUAAGGGAGCCUGCCUUAUCUGCUGGCCCUAUUCCAAGAGAGGAGUUGAUCUCCAACAUUAAGUAACCUUCCCUGUUAGUCAUCAUUGACAUGGAGAGUGCCUUUGAUCCUAUCCCCACAGCAGCCAGUUCCUACCCCUGUGGUCAAAAUGCCCCAGGUUGGGGGACAGAAAAGCCCCUGAGAUAGUUUCGGAGGGAAUCUACAACAAACUGUGAAGAACUUUGUUUUGCCAGUCAAAAUUUAGAAUUCAGGCUUUGGCUGUGGCCAAGGUCAGGAUUAAUGUUUUCUUUUCCAUGGGCCUUUAGCCCACUGAGACAGUUUGAUAAAGGGCUGCUACUGAGGUCCUGAAAGUCCCAGGUGAACUGGUUACAAUUCUUUUGUCAGCCACUUGGCAUCUAGCACCCAGGUCCUAGCCAUCUCUCCAUCCUUUUGUUAUUAGUUCUUAAGUCCAGAGAGAUAGUCGGGGUAACAGAUCAGCUCCCUCUCUGCUUGCCGUUCUGUUUCACAGACACAAAGCUUGUGCUUAUUUUUACAACAGCCUUUUUGUCCCAAAAAGUCCUCCUGGUUUAGCUGUGUGACUAAAUGCUAUUUGUCCUCUUCAGUGGACCUCUAUUCUCAAGAUUCUCUUGUUUUCUCACCAUCCCAUUUGAGAUGCUUGUUAGUAACUGUUACAGGUCUUCUUUACCACUGAGGAAAGACAGAAUCCUACUGGAGGCCAGAAAGAAUGUUCCAGACAUGGAUAGAAGACCCUCACUCCUGACUGUUGACUUGAAUACCCCUGAAGGUAGGGAGUGCUCCAGGUCUGCCACCAGGCUCCAAGGGUGGGUCUCCGAGGGGCUGGAAAAUGCCCCACCAAUCUGGCUAAGAUAAGAAAAAGAUAUAAAGAAAAAAAGUUACAAAAAUUUAAAGGGUUAAGCUAAGUUGCUGAGAGUUAGUGUAAGUUACAGAGAAAGUAAAGUUAAAGUGUAGUUACAUAAGUGGACAGCAUCUAAUAGCUGUAAAAGAAGAGGAAGAUACAGAAGAUAUGAGAGAGAGACUGAGAAAGAGAAAAAAAAGAUAAAAAGAACAAGAAGCUAAAAAAAAAAAAGCUAGAGAGCUAAAGAGAGAUAAAAGACAAGAGAGGAAUAUAUACUGGCCACAGUAGUUAGGGAACCUAGGAAGACAGUACCUGGCAACAGAAGAGAAUUCCUAGCUAAAGAUCAGUGUGCUUAUCACAAGGAAAAAGGACAAUGGGUCAGGGACUGCCCCAGGAAGAACAAGAAGGGCCUCUCCAGCAACCCGGAAGGCAAGCCUCUUGGUUCUAGAGUGCUGGCUAUACGCUAAGAUAGAAGGGAAGCCGGCCCAGUUGUUUUGUGAAUACGGGGGCCCAACACUCUGUGCUCCUACGCCCAAAUGGGCUAGUGUCAAGCAAAAGACCUUGAGUGCAAGGGGCUACUGGCAACAAAUGAUACUCAUGGACUACCCGAAGAACGGUGGACCUUGGCGUGGGCCGGGUAUCCCACUUGUUCCUUGUGAUCCCAGACUGCCCCUACGAGUCUAAACCCUGCAACCCUGCUCCCGGACCCUGACCUAGACAUCCCCCUUCAUGACUGUCAACAGGAGCUCACUAAAGCACAGGAGUGGCAUAAAGAUCAGACUGAUCAGCCAACAGAUGGGGUAGAUGCCAUCUGGCUCAUAGAUGGGAGCAGCUUCUUAGAGAAGAAAAAAGAUGGGCUGGGGCAACAGUGGUUGAUGGAAACAGAGUCAUAUGGGUUCAGGCCCUACCAGAAGGCACCACUACUCAGAGAGUAGAGCUCGCUCCCCUCACCAAAGCCCUUGGGCUGAGAAAGAGACUUAACAUCUAUGUGGACAGCACGUAUGCCUUUGCUACAGCCCAUCAGCAGAGGGGCCUGCUGACAUCUGAGGACAAGAAAAAAAAGAGAUUCUGGCUAUGUUAAGGGCCCUCCAUGACCCAGCCAGGCCGAGGAAGAGACUCUGGUACACCUCAACGAGAAAGAAGAUCCUGCUACAAAAAUAGACAGAGGCCAUGAUAAAACAAAUGCAUCAAUAGACUCACUUAGGGGUAAGCAAACUCAUCCAGACAUUUUCAAAAACUAAAUAUUAUGUCACAGGUCUCAAGUAUCUCGUGGAACAGAUAGUACACUGAUGUAUACCACGCCAAAAGGUAACUGUUUUCAGGAAAGUUGACUGUGGUAGGAGGCUCCGUGGGGAACGGCCUGGAUCCUACUGAGAAGCGGACUUCACAGAGAUAAAACCAGGAAAAUAUGGAUAUAAAUGUCUCCUAGUAUUUAUAGAUAUCUUUUCAGAAAUAGGUAAAAGCUUUCCCCACCAAGCAAGAGACGGCCUCAAUAGUCAUCAAGAAGAUACUAGAAGAAAUCUUCUCCCGAUUUGGAAUGCCCAAGACCUCAAAGUUCAGGACAGAUAGAGAGAAUAAAUAAGACUCUAAAAGAGACCCUGACCAAAUUGACCAUGGAGACUGGCGUAGACUGGGUGACACUCCUUCCCUCUUGCUCUCUUCAGAGCAAGAAAUACCCCUUCCAGAUUCAGCUUUACCCCCUUUGAGAUCUUAUAUGGGGCCUCAGCUCCCCUGACUAUAUUAGAUGAUGUUACUGAACCAACAUGUCAUAGUAAUAAUGAUUUGUGUGCCAGGCUAAAAGACCUACAGGUGAUACAAAAAGAAAUCUGCUCACAGCUGACAGCAGCCUAUGCCCCGGGGACCCCUGAGACAUGUCAUCAGUUCCAGGUUAGAGACUACAGCUACACUGAGCCCAGACACUCGAGCCUCGCUGAAAAGGACCAUACCUGGUGCUGCUGACCACCCUGACAGCCAUCAAGUCUCAGCCCUCACCAGCAGCGUACUAGCUGUUGGGGCUAAGAGCUGGGACCUAGAGGGACACUCAGAUCUUCAAAAAGCUCCCUAGACUUAAGUGAUUGAGAGGUUGCUAUAAUGCUCACUUGAGGAGUGUGUUUUAGAAACAAGAAUUUCAUGUUUGCCUGUUUGCCCUGGGUUCCCUCGAAAUAGGUAUAAAGAUAGGCUUGAUUUUUAUUACAAAUGAUGUAACAUUACAUAUGUUAGUACUCCUAACACUUCUUGGGACUGUGCCUCAGGGAUCACAACCUAUAUAAGUUUAGAAGUUCUAAAAGACCUUGAUUUAUAGGUUCAGAUAGUGUCCAGAUUAAAAUCCUGAUGCUAAAGACUUAAUAAGACACAAAAGAGAGUUGAAAAUUAUUUAAGGCUAUCUAGGUGCUACAAGGGCAGCACAAGGACAUCUUCAGUUGCUCUACAAUGCAAAAAAGAAUAAAAAAGACUUUUUAGCUGACCUCCAAGAAUACCUAACCUCCCUCUCAGAGGUAGUCCUUCAAAAUAGAAAAAGAGUAGACCUGAUAUUCCUUAAAAAAAGAGUCUGUGUGCUACACUAAAAGAAAAAUGUUGUUUCUAUACAGAUCAGACAAGAAUAAUAAGAGAUACAGACUUUCAGUCAUUCAAACUUUUGUGCUGAGACAACAGUAUCAGAUGGUAAAACAACAAAAAACAGAGGUACCUUAACCAAGUUGAGUGGAAGAUUCCACUCAAGGACAAAAAGAAAAUGGGGGAAUGAAAGACCCCCUCCCAGAAAGGGAAUUGUACAAGCCCAAGGCCCUCAACUAUAAAAGUAAAAAGUAAGUUUUUAGAUAUGUGGGACAAGCUGACCCAUCAUUUAGAUGAAACAGACCAAAAAAGAAAACAAAAUACAGAAACCAGACUAAAUUAUGGGCACUGCUCCAUGGGCCACCUGGCAAGAAAAAGAAAAAGUCCCUGACCCCCCGGAAGCCCUGACUACCAUGUAC